CUCAGUGAAAUUGAACUCGCUGUGAAGAUGCAGUGUACCCGCGGCAAGACGGAAAGACCCCGUGAACCUUUACUAUAGCUUGACACUGAACAUUGAGCCUUGAUGUGUAGGAUAGGUGGGAGGCUUGGAAGUGUGGACGCCAGUCUGCAUGGAGCCGACCUUGAAAUACCACCCUUUAAUGUUUGAUGUUCUAACGUUGACCCGUAAUCCGGGUUGCGGACAGUGUCUGGUGGGUAGUUUGACUGGGGCGGUCUCCUCCUAAAGAGUAACGGAGGAGCACGAAGGUUGGCUAAUCCUGGUCGGACAUCAGGAGGUUAGUGCAAUGGCAUAAGCCAGCUUGACUGCGAGCGUGACGGCGCGAGCAGGUGCGAAAGCAGGUCAUAGUGAUCCGGUGGUUCUGAAUGGAAGGGCCAUCGCUCAACGGAUAAAAGGUACUCCGGGGAUAACAGGCUGAUACCGCCCAAGAGUUCAUAUCGACGGCGGUGUUUGGCACCUCGAUGUCGGCUCAUCACAUCCUGGGGCUGAAGUAGGUCCCAAGGGUAUGGCUGUUCGCCAUUUAAAGUGGUACGCGAGCUGGGUUUAGAACGUCGUGAGACAGUUCGGUCCCUAUCUGCCGUGGGCGCUGGAGAACUGAGGGGGGCUGCUCCUAGUACGAGAGGACCGGAGUGGACGCAUCACUGGUGUUCGGGUUGUCAUGCCAAUGGCACUGCCCGGUAGCUAAAUGCGGAAGAGAUAAGUGCUGAAAGCAUCUAAGCACGAAACUUGCCCCGAGAUGAGUUCUCCCUGACUCCUUGAGAGUCCUGAAGGAACGUUGAAGACGACGACGUUGAUAGGCCGGGUGUGUAAG
rnacentral:rRNA from 1 species